AGCUAGACACGUUGAUCAUGUGAGACAGAUUGCUGCAAAGGGAAGAUUGACUACAAUAAAAUUGUUUGAAAACGUCCAUUGAAAAUAUAGGCAGUGCACAUUAUAUUAUAUCUAGUUAUGCAUGCUGACUCUGUGUGACUGACAUGCUGAAGUCGGAAAAUCAAACGAGUGUCUUUGAGGACAUUGCUUACCAUAUGUCCCUCUGAACGAUUGAACAAUGCUAUAGAGUUAACUAGUAAUUGAUAAAGAACUAUGGAAGAGUGUCCUAUUUGCAAAGGGCAAUUGGAAGAUGGACAACCAGUUGUAUGUCUCCGUAAGAAGGGGAGCGACGGAAUCAAUAAUGCAACCAUAGCAAGAGGAACUAACAUUUUUACAUGUAAAGGACAAUAUGUACACGUGCAGUGUCGCCAUGACUAUAUACAUAUUCGAAACUCUUUGACAAACAGUGAUAUGAAUAAUAAUCCUGUUACAUCUAGGUCUUUACGUUCAGAAGAUUCAUUUGAUUUUUCAAACAAAAUGUCUUUUUUGUACAAAAAAUGCUAAAGUAAGUGUGAACAAACGUGGGUAUGAUGUCUUUCCUG